AAACUUUCAACAACGGAUCUCUUGGUUCUGGCAUCGAUGAAGAACGCAGCAAAAUGCGAUAAGUAAUGUGAAUUGCAGAAUUCAGUGAAUCAUCGAAUCUUUGAACGCACAUUGCGCCCGCCAGUAUUCUGGCGGGCAUGCCUGUUCGAGCGUCAUUUCAACCCUCAAGCACAGCUUG
rnacentral:rRNA from 1 species